rnacentral:rRNA from 1 species
AUUGAGCGCUGGCGGCAUGCCUAACACAUGCAAGUCGAACGGCAGCACAGUAAAGACUUCGGUCUUUAUGGGUGGCGGGUGGCGGGCGGGUGAGUAACGCGUAGGAAGCUGUCCUGGAGGGUGGGAUACCCGGAGGAAACUAGGGCUAAUACCGCAUGAUCUAGAGUGAUAAAAAGCAGGGGACCUUACGGGGCCUGUCGCUCUAGGGUGAGACUACGUCGGAUUAGCUAGUUGGUGGGGUAAAGGCCUACCAAGGCGACGAUCCGUAGCUGGUCUGAGAGGAUGACCAGCCACACUGGGACUGAGACACGGCCCAGACUCCUACGGGAGGCAGCAGUGGGGAAUCUUGGACAAUGGGGGAAACCCUGAUCGAGCGAUGCCGCGUGUGUGAAGAAGGCCUUCGGGUUGUAAAGCACUUUAGUUGGGGAAGAAAAGUAAUAAGUAAAUAAUCUAUUGCUCUGACGGUACCCAAAGAAUAAGCACCGGCUAACUCUGUGCCAGCAGCCGCCGUAA